AUUGAACGCUGGCGGCAUGCCUUACACAUGCAAGUCGAACGGUAACAGGUCUUCGGAUGCUGACGAGCGGCGAACGGGUGAGUAAUACAUCGGAACGUGCCCGAUCGUGGGGGAUAACGAGGCGAAAGCUGUGCUAAUACCGCAUACGAUCUACGGAUGAAAGCGGGGGAGCUUCGGACCUCGCGCGGACGGAGCGGCCGAUGGCAGAUUAGGUAGUUGGUGGGAUAAAAGCUUACCAAGCCGACGAUCUGUAGCUGGUCUGAGAGGAUGAUCAGCCACACUGGGACUGAGACACGGCCCAGACUCCUACGGGAGGCAGCAGUGGGGAAUUUUGGACAAUGGGCGAAAGCCUGAUCCAGCCAUGCCGCGUGCAGGAUGAAGGCCUUCGGGUUGUAAACUGCUUUUGUACGGAACGAAAAGCCUCUUUCUAAUAAAGAGGGGUCAUGACGGUACCGUAAGAAUAAGCACCGGCUAACUACGUG
rnacentral:rRNA from 1 species